rnacentral:ncRNA from 2 species
UAAAGUCACCGGCGUUCAGGUGCCUGCCGGUGCAGUGCGAACACUGCAUCUGGGUAGGUUAAAUGGGAAGACUGGUGCGGCCCCUCGGGCCAAGGCCAGCGCUGCCCCCGCAACGGUAUGCGGCUGCGUUCAUCGGAGCGCGCCGCGAGCCCGAUACCUGCCUGGACAUGUGCACCGAU